GCUUGUCUCAAAGAUUAAGCCAUGCAUGUCUAAGUAUAACUCUUUUACUUUGAAAACUGCGAACGGCUCAUUAUAUCAGUUAUAGUUUCUUUGAUAGUCCCUUACUACUUGGAUACCCGUAGUAAUUCUAGAGCUAAUACAUGCAUCAAUACCCAACUGUUCGCGGAAGGGUAGUAUUUAUUAGGUAUAGACCAACCCUCUUCGGAGGUGCUUUGGUGAUUCAUAAUAACUUUUCGAAUCGCAUAGCUGCCGCUGGCGAUAGACCAUUCAAGUUUCUGACCUAUCAGCUAUCGUCGGUAGGGUAUUGGCCUACCGUGGCAAUGACGGGUAACGGAGAAUUAGGGUUCGAUUCCGGAGAGGGAGCCUGAGAAACGGCUACCACAUCUAAGGAAGGCAGCAGG
rnacentral:rRNA from 1 species